rnacentral:rRNA from 1 species
ACGAUAACGGCGUCGAGCGGCGGACGGGUGAGUAAUGCCUAGGAAAUUGCCCUGAUGUGGGGGAUAACCAUUGGAAACGAUGGCUAAUACCGCAUGAUGCCUACGGGCCAAAGAGGGGGACCUUCGGGCCUCUCGCGUCAGGAUAUGCCUAGGUGGGAUUAGCUAGUUGGUGAGGUAAGGGCUCACCAAGGCGACGAUCCCUAGCUGGUCUGAGAGGAUGAUCAGCCACACUGGAACUGAGACACGGUCCAGACUCCUACGGGAGGCAGCAGUGGGGAAUAUUGCACAAUGGGCGCAAGCCUGAUGCAGCCAUGCCGCGUGUGUGAAGAAGGCCUUCGGGUUGUAAAGCACUUUCAGUCGUGAGGAAGGUAGUGUAGUUAAUAGCUGCAUCGUGAAGAAGGCCUUCGGGUUGUAAAGCACUUUCAGUCGUGAGGAAGGUAGUGUAGUUAAUAGCUGCAUUAUUUGACGUUAGCGACAGAAGAAGCACCGGCUAACUCCGUGCCAGCAGCCGCGGUAAUACGGAGGGUGCGAGCGUUAAUCGGAAUUACUGGGCGUAAAGCGCAUGCAGGUGGUUUGUUAAGUCAGAUGUGAAAGCCCGGGGCUCAACCUCGGAAUUGCAUUUGAAACUGGCAGACUAGAGUACUGUAGAGGGGGGUAGAAUUUCAGGUGUAGCGGUGAAAUGCGUAGAGAUCUGAAGGAAUACCGGUGGCGAAGGCGGCCCCCUGGACAGAUACUGACACUCAGAUGCGAAAGCGUGGGGAGCAAACAGGAUUAGAUACCCUGGUAGUCCACGCCGUAAACGAUGUCUACUUGGAGGUUGUGGCCUUGAGCCGUGGCUUUCGGAGCUAACGCGUUAAGUAGACCGCCUGGGGAGUACGGUCGCAAGAUUAAAACUCAAAUGAAUUGACGGGGGCCCGCACAAGCGGUGGAGCAUGUGGUUUAAUUCGAUGCAACGCGAAGAACCUUACCUACUCUUGACAUCCAGAGAACUUUCCAGAGAUGGAUUGGUGCCUUCGGGAACUCUGAGACAGGUGCUGCAUGGCUGUCGUCAGCUCGUGUUGUGAAAUGUUGGGUUAAGUCCCGCAACGAGCGCAACCCUUAUCCUUGUUUGCCAGCGAGUAAUGUCGGGAACUCCAGGGAGACUGCCGGUGAUAAACCGGAGGAAGGUGGGG